GGACGAACGCUUGCGACGUGCCUAAGAAAUGCAAGUCGAGCGAGGCAGCAAUGCCUAGCGGCGAACGGUCGCGUAACACGUAAGCAACCUGCCCCAAAGACCGGGACAACGUUUCGAAAGGAGCGCUAAUACCGGAUGUGCCCGCCUAUUGACAUCGAUGGGUGAGUAAAUCAAGCAAUUGGCUUUGGGAGGGGCUUGCGGCCUAUCAGCUAGAUGGUGGGGUAACGGCCUACCAUGGCGACGACGGGUAGCUGGUCUGAGAGGAUGGUCAGCCGGAUUGGGACUGAGAUACGGCCCAGACUCCUACGGGGGGCAGCAAUUAGGAAUCUUGCGCAAUGGGCGAAAGCCUGACGCAGCGACGUCGCGUGGGGGAGGAAGGCUUUCGGGUUGUAAACCCCUUUUGUCGAGGAAGAAACAAAUGACGGUACUCGACGAAUAAGCCCCGGCUAACUCCGUGCCAGCAGCCGCGGUAAUACGGAGGGGGCUAGCGUUGUCCGAAGUUACUGGGCGUAAAGCGCGCGUAGGCGGGUUGGUAAGUCCGCUGUGAAAGCCCGGAGCUCAACUCCGGAGGGUCGGUGGAUACUGCCAGUCUUGAAGGUGCUAGGGGGAGAUGGAAUUACCGGUGUAGCGGUGAAAUGCGUAGAUAUCGGUAGGAACACCAGUGGCGAAGGCGGUCUCCUGGGGCAUUCUUGACGCUGAGGCGCGAAAGCUGGGGGAGCGAACGGGAUUAGAUACCCCGGUAGUCCCAGCCCUAAACGAUGGAUACUAGGUGUCGGGGGUAUCGACCCCCCCGGUGCCGCCGCUAACGCAGUAAGUAUCCCGCCUGGGGAGUACGGCCGCAAGGUUGAAACUC
rnacentral:rRNA from 1 species